rnacentral:tRNA from 1 species
GUAGCUCAGCUGGUAGAGAGCAUGCGCGUACAAAGCGUAGGCGGUGUCCAUGCGUGGGUUCGAAUCCCACC